GCUAAUUAUGUGCCAGCAGCCGCGGUAAUACAUAAGGGGCGAGCGUUAUCCGGAAUUAUUGGGCGUAAAGGGUGCGUAGGCGGUUUAAUAAGUCUAUAGUUUAAUUUCAGCGCUUAACGCUGUUGCGCUAUAGAAACUGUUUUACUAGAGUGAGUUAGAGGCAAGCGGAAUUCCAUGUGUAGCGGUAAAAUGCGUAAAUAUAUGGAGGAACACCAGAGGCGUAGGCGGCUUGCUGGGACUUUACUGACGCUGAGGCACGAAAGCGUGGGGAGCAAACAGGAUUAGAUACCCUGGUAGUCCACGCCGUAAACGAUGAGUACUAAGUGUCGGGUAAAACCGGUACUGAAGUUAACACAUUAAGUACUCCGCCUGAGUAGUACGUACGCAAGUAUGAAACUUAAAGGAAUUGACGGGACUCCGCACAAGCGGUGGAUCAUGUUGUUUAAUUCGAAGAUACACGAAAAACCUUACCAGGUCUUGACAUUUUCUUGCGAAGUUAUAGAAAUAUAAUGGAGGUUAUCAGGAAAACAGGUGGUGCAUGGUUGUCGUCAGCUCGUGUCGUGAGAUGUUAGGUUAAGUCCUAAAACGAGCGCAACCCUUGUCGUUAAUUGCCAGCAUGUAAUGAUGGGGACUUUAACGAGACUGCCAAUGAAAAAUUGGAGGAAGGUGGGGAUUACGUCAAAUCAUCAUGCCCCUUAUGAUCUGGGCUACAAACGUGAUACAAUGGUUGAUACAAAGAGUAGCUGAAACGCGAGUUCUUAGCCAAUCUCACAAAAUCAAUC
rnacentral:rRNA from 1 species